rnacentral:lncRNA from 1 species
CUCAAAUAAUCCAUAUGUUGAAGUCCUAACCCUCAAUACCACAGAAUGUGACCCUAUUUGGAAACAGGACUGUUGCAGAUAUAAUUGGUGAUAAUGAGGUCAGGCUAGAGUAGGGUUGACCCCUAAUAAAAUAUGACUGGUUUCCUCAUAAGAAGGGAAACUUUAGACACAGACACAUACAGGGAGAAUGCCAUGUGAAGAGACAGGCAGAAAUCAGAGUGACGCUUCUAUAAGCCAAAUACUGUGCUGGACCCAUAUUAACCUCAACAGGGAUGGCACCAGGUUCAAGAAGUUGAAGAAGAGACCCAGAGCCAGCAAACGAGACCCCGUGAGACACAGAGUUUUAUCAGCUGGAAACUUACAUACAGAGCGGUUCCAUGGUGGUGAGCUGGGCGGGAGAACUGCCACUGCUUGUGCAUCUACCAUACUCUAAGGAAUGCCAAAAUUGCUAGCAAAUCAUCAGAAGCUAGACAAGAGGCUUGAAACAGAUUCUCAAAGCCCUCACAAGGAACCAAGCCUGGACACUUCUAGCCUCUAGAACUGUAAGACACUAUAUAUCUGUUGUUUAAGCCACCCAGUUUGUGGCACUUUGCUAUGGCAACCCUAGAAAUUAAUACAUUCCCUCUUUCACAAUUUUUAAAAAGUAAAGAAAUAGAUGCAUCUUUGCUUUGGCAUGAAAUAUUAGAACAACACAAAAAUAUGUAGAAUAAAAAGUGAAAUGCCCCCCCCUUCACCAUCCUAAUACCAUUCCUCUCCAACAUAACCACAAUUAUACUGGGUAGCUACUCCUCCAGAACUUUUUCUGUGCAUUUACACACAGAUUUGUAGAGAUGCUCAUAUGUGUUUAUGAACCCAGUUUUUCUGACUCUGGGUUUUCCCUUACAUGUUAUUAUUCACUCGGAUACCUAAGAUAAUGUUUACUCGUCUAUUGAUUGUUAAUUCAAAGUGUUUCUUCUUUUUAACAACCCAUUGAAGUUGUGUGCACGUGUAUGUGUGUGUGUGAGUGUAUUUUCAUAAUCAUUUCAGGAAGAAAGAAAAAUUCAAACAAAGAGACCUCUCUGAGGUAAAAUGUGCACAUUGGAAAAGCUUUUAGAUAUUGCAGACAUAGAUAUACUUGCUUUGCAUUCAUCCUACAGCUAGAGACCAGGUGAAAAGUGUGAAAUACAAGUUUUGUGAUAUGUUUUCCCUCAAGCUCAGAGGGUAAUUCAUGCUUCCACGUAAAUACAGGUGGUAGUUAUCUACCCACAGAUGUGACUGCCCCCCUCCAAGUUUUACCUGUUAAAAAUGCAUCUUUUCCCACUGCCUGGACAAGGUGCUACUCUCUCCUAUCAACUCAGAAAUUUCUGCUUUUUAAAAACAAAGCCAAAUAAAAAAACAACACUGUCUCCAUAUGGCCACUGUUGCAGAGCGCAUAUGGUGCCUGGAAGGAAAGAGAAAGCCUUGCACUCCUGUGGUCCUCUCCAGUUGAUACAUAGACUAAAGUUCAAGAAUGCUCAAUCUGCAUAUGAAUGGAGGGAAGCGUGGGGUCUGAAAGGGGAAGUCAGCAGGUACCUCCUGCAGCCCUGGGUGGCCUGUUUCCAAGUCCGGUGUCCUUCCUGCCUCACUCACCACCGUUCUUAGAGUACUUCAUUCCCUGGGUGCCACACAAAUGAGGCAUCCCACCAGCCAAGAUGGAAAAUAUUUCAUUAACUGUGCUGCCCAUGGAAAAUAAAAGUAGAAGGGAGAGCCCAGAACAGAGGCUGAGGCAGAAAAGAGAAUGGUGGAGGUGAAAGCCUGAAGCCCAAAAGGAAAAAAAGAAGCAAAAUGAAGAUGUGGAGUGGCAGCCGUGGGAGGAGAGGGGUGAUCACAAGGGGGUGGACAGAAAAGGCCUUGGCCUAAUAUAGCAGUUUGGCCCCUGUCAUGGUUAAUUUUGUGUCAAUAUUUGGCUAAACAUUUUUCUGGAUGUUUCUGUGAGGGUGUUUUCUGCGAAUGAGAUUAACAUUUAAAUUGCUGGACUUUUAGUAGCAUGCCCCUUCAUAACACAGCUGUGACUUAUCCAAUCCAUUGAAGGCCUUAACAGAAAAA